GACGAACGCUGGCGGCGUGCUUAACACAUGCAAGUCGAACGAAGAGCGAUGGAAGCUUGCUUCUAUCAAUCUUAGUGGCGAACGGGUGAGUAACGCGUAAUCAACCUGCCCUUCAGAGGGGGACAACAGUUGGAAACGACUGCUAAUACCGCAUACGAUCUAAUCUCGGCAUCGAGGAUAGAUGAAAGGUGGCCUCUAUAUGUAAGCUAUCACUGAAGGAGGGGAUUGCGUCUGAUUAGCUAGUUGGAGGGGUAACGGCCCACCAAGGCGAUGAUCAGUAGCCGGUCUGAGAGGAUGAACGGCCACAUUGGGACUGAGACACGGCCCAGACUCCUACGGGAGGCAGCAGUGGGGAAUUUUCCGCAAUGGACGAAAGUCUGACGGAGCAACGCCGCGUGAGUGAUGACGGCCUUCGGGUUGUAAAGCUCUGUUAAUCGGGACGAAAGGCCUUCUUGCGAAUAGUGAGAAGGAUUGACGGUACCGGAAUAGAAAGCCACGGCUAACUACGUGCCAGCAGCCGCGGUAAUACGUAGGUGGCAAGCGUUGUCCGGAAUUAUUGGGCGUAAAGCGCGCGCAGGCGGAUAGGUCAGUCUGUCUUAAAAGUUCGGGGCUUAACCCCGUGAUGGGAUGGAAACUGCCAAUC
rnacentral:rRNA from 1 species